AUGGAUACAGUCGAUGUUGGCUCUCUUUAUACUCCACUUGACUUGUCGGAGCUCACAAUAGAGUUCUCCUGGGCUGAGAUCGUGCAAGCUAUCAACUGUUCGCCAAACAACAGGAGUCCGGGCCCUGAUGGUUUUACCAAUGAGUUUUACAAGGAUUUCAAGCUGCUGAUAAAGGAUGACCUCCUAAGGUUUUUUGGUGAUUUCCAUAAGAAUGAAGUGGACCUUUCGGGCAUCAACUCCGCUUUCAUUACCCUGCUGCCUAAAAAAGAUACGCCUCGGGAAAUGCGUGACUUUCGACCGAUCUCUCUUGUGCAUAGUUUGCCUAAGCUGGCCUCUAAGGUUCUGUCUAGUCGGCUCAAAACAUGGAUCCCUCACUUGAUCCACACACUUCAGUCCGGCUUCCUGAAGGGCCGAUCGAUCGUUGAGAACUUUGCCUUGGCUGCUGAAAUGAUCUAG
rnacentral:rRNA from 1 species